rnacentral:rRNA from 1 species
CCUACGGGAGGCUGCAGUAGGGAAUCUUCCACAAUGGGCGAAAGCCUGAUGGAGCAACGCCGCGUGGGUGAAGAAGGUCUUCGGAUCGUAAAACCCUGUUGUUAGAGAAGAAAGUGCGUGAGAGUAACUGUUCACGUUUCGACGGUAUCUAACCAGAAAGCCACGGCUAACUACGUGCCAGCAGCCGCGGUAAUACGUAGGUGGCAAGCGUUAUCCGGAUUUAUUGGGCGUAAAGGGAACGCAGGCGGUCUUUUAAGUCUGAUGUGAAAGCCUUCGGCUUAACCGGAGUAGUGCAUUGGAAACUGGGAGACUGGAGUGCAGAAGAGGAGAGUGGAACUCCAUGUGUAGCGGUGAAAUGCGUAGAUAUAGGGAAGAACACCAGUGGCGAAAGCGGCUCUCUGGUCUGUAACUGACGCUGAGGUUCGAAAGCGUGGGUAGCAAACAGGAUUAGAUACCCCAGUAGUC